UCCUACGGGAGGCAGCAGUGGGGAAUAUUGCACAAUGGGCGCAAGCCUGAUGCAGCAACGCCGCGUGAGGGACGAAGGCCUUCGGGUUGUAAACCUCUUUUAGUAGGGAAGAAGCGACUGGGUUUUCCUGGGAGUGACGGUACCUGCAGAAAAAGCACCGGCUAACUACGUGCCAGCAGCCGCGGUAAUACGUAGGGUGCAAGCGUUGUCCGGAAUUAUUGGGCGUAAAGAGCUCGUAGGCGGUUUGUCGCGUCUGCUGUGAAAACCCGAGGCUCAACCUCGGGCCUGCAGUGGGUACGGGCAGACUAGAGUGCGGUAGGGGAGAUUGGAAUUCCUAGUGUAGCGGUGGAAUGCGCAGAUAUCAGGAGGAACACCAAUGGCGAAGGCAGAUCUCUGGGCCGUAACUGACGCUGAGGAGCGAAAGCAUGGGGAGCGAACAGGAUUAGAUACCCUGGUAGUCCAUGCCGUAAACGUUGGGAACUAGAUGUGGGGACCAUUCCACGGUCUCCGUGUCGCAGCUAACGCAUUAAGUUCCCCGCCUGGGGAGUACGGCCGCAAGGCUAAAACUCAAAGGAAUUGACGGGGGCCCGCACAAGCGGCGGAGCAUGCGGAUUAAUUCGAUGCAACGCGAAGAACCUUACCAAGGCUUGACAUAUACCGGAAACGGCUGGAAACAGUCGCCCCGCAAGGUCGGUAUACAGGUGGUGCAUGGUUGUCGUCAGCUCGUGUCGUGAGAUGUUGGGUUAAGUCCCGCAACGAGCGCAACCCUCGUCCUAUGUUGCCAGCACGUAAUGGUGGGAACUCAUGGGAUACUGCCGGGGUCAACUCGGAGGAAGGUGGGGAUGACGUCAAAUCAUCAUGCCCCUUAUGUCUUGGGCUUCACGCAUGCUACAAUGGCCGGUACAAAGGGCUGCGAUACCGCAAGGUGGAGCGAAUCCCAAAAAGCCGGUCUCAGUUCGGAUUGAGGUCUGCAACUCGACCUCAUGAAGUCGGAGUCGCUAGUAAUCGCAGAUCAGCAACGCUGCGGUGAAUACGUUCCCGGGCCUUGUACACACCGCC
rnacentral:rRNA from 1 species